rnacentral:misc_RNA from 1 species
CGCACAUUGCGCCCCCUGGCAUUCCGGAGGGCAUGCCCGUUCGAGCGUCAUUAAAUCCAAUCAAGCCUGGCUUGGUAUUGGGCGUCGGGAGGACCCCGCGCCCCAAUUUCACCGGCUGGCCGUCGCCUGUUCUAGUGUUGCGGACGGGAAACUUCGCUAGAAUUGAGGAGCGGUUAUGCUGUCAUGAUCUCACCACCAACUGGCUCGCCGCCUGCUUGGCGUUGUUCUCUCGGGGAAAACGUCAAGACCAGGGCGGGUCACGCCGUGAGAUCGCAACGAAUUUCCAUUGAAAUUUGACCAAGAUUGACCUCGGAUCGGGUAGGAAUACCCGCUGAACUUAA